UACGUAGGGGCCAAGCGUUGUCCGGAAUCACUGGGCGUAAAGCGCGCGCAGGCGGCGAUCUACGUCUGGGGUGAAAGCCCGGAGCUCAACUCCGGGACUGCCUUGGAUACGGGAUCGCUUGAGGAUUGGAGAGGCAAGGGGAAUUCCACGUGUAGCGGUGAAAUGCGUAGAUAUGUGGGGGAACACCUGUGGCGAAGGCGCCUUGCUGGCCAAUUUCUGACGCUGAGGCGCGAAAGCGUGGGGAGCAAACAGG
rnacentral:rRNA from 1 species